ACGUUUCUCUUCAGGUACAUGGCAUAGGACUAGAGAGAUCCACUGAUCUGUUAAAGGAGAAGCUGCAACGGCACAAAAUUGAGAUAAGCAUAUAGAUUUAUAACAUUAGCUGAGUAAAUUUUAGAGUUGAUAACUUGUUAAAGCAUAGAAAUUCAGGAGUAUAUAUAUAUAUAUAUCUUACAAAUCAAGUGAAAACCGUCAAUCUGGACAUUAUUCUAUGCUUAGCGCUAAUCUUGUGAAUACAUAAAAUAUCAAUCUCAGAUCUUCUGUACAAAAGCUGCACAACAAAAGAGGAGUACUGCAAAAAGUAGCACUCGGUUAUGUGAAUCAUGUCCCCACCAUCCGAUUUCUUUCCUUUUAUAGAAGUUUGUUUUUGCAAGAAAUAUCCCCAAUAAGAAAACCUAAAUUAUGAGAUAAUUUUGAAGAAAAGGGAGAAAGAAUGGUGAAGGUGAUGACGGAAGCAUAGAGAGCACAAAUGAAUUGAGAUGCUUUUUUGCAGGUGCCUUCCAAUCCCAGAUUUAGCAGCAUGUCAUCAUCUGUGCUCUCUAUCUUCUGUCAACAAUCUCACACUAGUCUCUUCAUCCGCCAUAAAUUUAUAUGUAAAAAUUUACCAACAGGUCUAAAAAAAUUAAAUGCGUAAUCGUAGUUCCGCUUUUGAUUCAAUACACUAUAAACAGGAAGGAUUUGCGGAAUGAAAAGCAGCAAAGAGUAGUUGAUGUUUUGUUCUUUUAUCACGAACAAGAAUUUUCUUGGGUGGGUGGGUGGGUGAGUGAUUGUGGUUGGUGUUUAAUGCAGAAAGAGUUGUGGUAGGGCUAUUUUUGGGGUUGCGGAAAUAUAAUUAUUUGUGGUGGACUACCCUAUUUAGGACUAGCAGCGGCGGGGGACCUAUUUAUAGAAACAAAUAUGCCUGGGAAUUAAAUGUCCUGGUUAAAAGGGUACCACAGACUCUUCUCGAAAUAAGUAUGGGGGUAUGGAUUCCUGGUAGCAAGUGUUCUCUCUUUCUACGAGUCUUAGCAUGUGUGAAUUCAGAUUAGUCGAGGCGCUAAUGCACAUAUGGAACAUCGGGCAGGAAACCAAACAAAAAAUAUAAUUCCUCCGUCUCAAUUUAUGUGAACUCAUUUGACUGGCACAGAGUUUAAGAAAAGAGNNNNNNNNNNNNNNNNNNNNNNNNNGCAUAAAGGUAAAUUGUUUCCAAAUAGGAAAAGAGGUCAUUCUUUUUGGCACGGACUAAAAAGGAAAUAGGUUCACAUAAAUUGAAACGGAGGGAGUAUGAUAAUUGCAUAUUGAAAGUGCUCGGUCAACGUUACAAAAUGAUAGUAGAAAAUAUUAACAGGAGGUAAAAAGUUCUCCGGUAGAAAUAACAAAAAAAGAUCUUAAUUUUCAUUAUUUUCUCGAAAGUCAAUUGAUUAUCUUUCUGAGGGGACUUUGUACCGUCAAAUUAAACUAAUAAAUUGAUACUGUAUGAGAUUACAGAUGAUAUUAUAUAAGUAUGUGGCUUUGACAUGUACCUGGAGGUAACUUUAAAAGAGAGUGCGAAACCGACAUAAAAUGAAAACAUUAUAGCCCAAUCAUUCUAAAUUCAUGCUUGGCUCAAGUAUCUUCUAAUUGUGAUAUAAUUAGCUUUAAUUUGCUGCUGCAUCAUGCGAGUUUAAUGGUUUCUUUACCUGAAGAUUUCACCUUAUUUUUCUACUCCAAGAUCCUAAGGAUACGUUUGGACAUAGAUUCUCAAAUAUUUUUUGAAAAAAAAAAACUUGAAGUUUGAUCGGAAAUUGAAAAUAUGUUUGGACUUGAAUUUUGGGACAAGUUUUGACAUAUUAAAAAGAUUUUUUAUUCAGCUAAAAAGUUCCAAAUGAUCAUGAUUUGGCCCCAAAAGAGGUAUUAAGCUAUAUUUCGGAUUUGAAGGUUUGAUUUUUAAAAUUUCCCAAAGACUAAAUUAAUUCUAUAAACACAUAUUUGAAACUCUUUUCGGAAUUUUUUUUUUUCCAAAACUUAUGGCCAAACGCCUAUAAAACAAUUAACUUUGUUAGAUUACCCGGGCUGAAAAUGUUAGUGAUUUGUCAACCCUUUUCCCCCUAAUUAAACGUUGUUUUAUCCACAAACUCCCCGCUCCUUUUUUUUUUUUGGUUGGUAGGGUUGGGUUUGGUAAAACCCCUUCCAUAUUCGAAAGUAGAUUCUAUCUUCUUCUUUUGGGGUCUGUUUGGAAAGUCAUCAUUGGAAUUGGUGUAAUUACUAUAUAGUAAUUAUACAGCCUAGUAAUUAUACGGUAUUGUAAUUACGAUGAUAUAUUUGUUUGUCAUAAUAUCAUUAUAGUGUAAUUACAAGUGUAUUGUUUGGUUGCACAACUGUAAUUACAUUGUUAGAUUAAAUUUGAAAUAUAAAGUUAAUUAUCAAAAUUUAAAAGUUAAGAUUUAACAAAUAUAUGCCUUUAUAAAUAAUAUUAAAUAUGACAUUUAAGAUAUACAGUGUUUCUUGAAAAUAUAUUAAUCACUAAUCAUAUAUUUGUAACUAAUAUUGUAAAAGUACUUGAUAUAUAUGUUUGAAAUUAAUAAUAUUUUACUUUAAUCAACUAUAAAAAUUAAAAGUACAUAUUUUGUAAGAACAUUAUGUAAUGCACGCCUGACAAAAUAAAUAUUUAUAAAUAUAAUAUUAUAACAUCACUCAAUUUUUUUACGAAAAAUAAUCUAUCAAUUCUAACUGAAAAAUGAAUGGCUUGCAAUAUAAAAUAAUAAGUGAAUUCUACUAAAGCAAAUAAAAUAGAAGUGAAAAUAUAACAUAAAUUAAAAAUCCAAAUAAUUAAUAUAAUACUCUUAUGCAAAAUUACGACAUAACAUAAAAUAAAUUUCAACAUAAUUUAAAUAAAUAUAAUUCAUAAUAAAAUAAAAAUAUAAGUCUAUAACCUCAUUAGACAAUGAAAUUCUACUUUAGUGACAUCACUCAUUAUAUGCUAAGUUUUUUUUAAUGAUUCAUUAUUUCUAAUAUUAGGAGGAGGGGUUUCAAAACUAGAAUAAUAGCACAAUUACACUAAAUAAAAAUAAUAAAAACAAAAUAUAAAAAAUAUGAGCAACUACAUGGAGUCACAAAACAUAAAUGUUGAAAAAUGUUAAUAUUAUUUAUAUAUUAAAGAGUAAUCUAUCAUUUUAAUAUGGUUAAGUUUGUAUAUAACCUCAUCCUCUAACAAAGUUCAACUCUAAUGACAUCACUCAUUAUAAAUCAAGUUUGUGGAUGACUUAUUCUUUAUAAGAUUACUAAGUAUAAUGUUGUAACGACCCAGCCGGUUGUUUCAUGAGUUAUAGUUCUAUUCUCCCCGUUUCUGCUUCUUUAUGUGUUGCUCAACUGUAUUUUGUCACACCUCCUUUUUUACUACCCCGAAAGGGUAUAUAAGAGAGUUUUUCUAGUUUAAGUGACAAUUGAAACGAGAUUAUUAUUUAAGAUCAGAGUCGCCACUUGGGAUAAUUUAUGAUGUCCCAAGUCACCGGUUUAAAAUUUCGAAUCGAGGAAGUUGACUCUUAUUUAUGGUCUGCGAACACGGAAAUUCGGGUAAGGAAUUCUGUUAACCCGAGAGAAGGUGUUAGACAUUCCCGAGUUCUGUGGUUCUAGCACGGUCGCUUUGAUCAUACUUGCUUAAUCAAAUUGUCUAAUUACUCAUUUUAGAACCUAUGUGUAUUUGCCUUUUUAAUUAAGCAACUAUCUUGAAACGGGUCAUGCGCACGUGUACCCAUUUGUUUGGCGCGUCAAAAAUCAUGUCACGCGAACGUGUCCACGAUCAAUAACGCUUUGUUAUUAUUACGAUUGUUUUUUUACCAAAGUUGCACGAACGCAUACCUCAAUUUAUUUUUAAAAGAAUCGUAAUCAUGUCACGCGAACGUGUACACAAUUACAAUAGUUUGAUUAAACAACAACAAAAACUAUAGUUCGAUUAUGAGAAUCAGAAAUUCAAGCUUAUCAGCCUUAUUCCAAAUUAAUGAUACUACGACCUACUUAAAAAUGAAAGAAGCUGCUUUUGUGAAAAAGUUCAUUCCAAUCUUCUUUUGUUAGUUUAUUUCCUCAAAAUGGGUAAACUAAGAUUGGCGACGAUGCAAUAAACUUAUCUUUACAAUCUCAGGAUCAAAUGCAAUAAACUUACUUUUACAGACAAUACAAAAUAAUCACUUAUAGAAACCAUAUAAAAUAUAAUUUGUAACUAUAAUAGGAAUAGAGAUGGACCUUAGAAGGAGUAGGUGAGUCCAUGAACAAAUAAGAAACCAGUACAGGAUCACGAUGAAACGGAAUCUCGUCGGACGACACUCUAACCUCGACGGAACUGAACAGACCCAACGAACAGAGCUAGCGACCUAUGAACGGGCUUUAAAGGGACUCGAUCUCAACAGAAAUGUUACACUAAAUGGAACAACGAACUUGAAACUCAGUCGACAACAUCAAACGAACUCUCCACGAGCUUUAAAUGAACUCCAUUGACGAAACAAAAUUUUGUCGCCGGUUUCCGGCCAUCUCCGGUGGUGAAGGAGCAGCAACCGGUCUGCUGUGAGGUGAAGAAGAAGGAACGGUGACGAGGGGUGUGUUGGUGAAGGUUUUGCCGCUGGCGUGAGGUCGGAUCGUUCGGUUGCUUCUUCUCCUUUAAUCUCUAUGUGUUUUUGUUAAUGAAGAUGGUGAAGAAGCAGAACGGAUGGGAGGGUAUGACUCUUGGCUGAAGAGAGAUUCCUUUGGUCUCUAGUGUUGAAAUGGACGAUAUGGAGAUGGAGUUUUGCUAGGGUUUUGUUUGUGAAGAAGGAGAUGAACUGGUGGGGGGGUCUCGUUUUGUGUAUUGCGGCGGAUCUCUUAGGCGUUAGGAAAUUAGCUCCUCAUUUUUUUUGUCCAAAACGGUUGUCCGCC
rnacentral:lncRNA from 1 species